AAUACGUUCCCGGACCUUGCACACACCGCCCGUCAAGCCAUGGAAGCUGGGUGUACCUAAAGUCGAUAACCGCAAGGAGUCGCCUAGGGUAAAACUAGUAACUGGGGCU
rnacentral:rRNA from 1 species